AUGAAUACAACUUCAAUAUUUGUCUGGUAUGCACGCAAUCAAUCAUGUACCUGUCUCCGUCCUGUAAAAAGGAUCAACAUCUGCAGCUAUGGAUAUGAUGUUUGGAUUAUCAUCUUUCAUUUUUGUCACGCUCGUAGGUGCUGCAAAACAUUAAGCAUGGUACAAGUCAUUGUUAGACUUGCACGUCAGGCAUCACAUCACAGUAUUUUCACAGUUUAUAUACCUGGCUCAAUCGCGCAAAUAGCAUCUACUUGUUCAUCAACGGGUAUCAAGUUUGCGUUGUAUUCUUCAGCAUGGUUUACGCCCGUCUGA
rnacentral:rRNA from 1 species